UAGGAAGUCGAGGGCCGAUCCGGGGCAUC
rnacentral:sRNA from 1 species